GCUUAGCCCUAAACCUCAACAGUUAAAUCAACAAAACUGCUCGCCAGAACACUACGAGCCACAGCUUAGAACUCAAAGGACCUGGCGGUGCUUCAUAUCCUC
rnacentral:rRNA from 1 species